rnacentral:rRNA from 1 species
UACGUAGGGCGCGAGCGUUGUCCGGAAUUAUUGGGCGUAAAGAGCUCGUAGGCGGCCGGUUGCGUCUGCUGUGAAAUCCCGGGGCUUAACCCCGGGCGUGCAGUGGAUACGGGCCGGCUGGAGGCAGGCAGGGGAGAAUGGAAUUCCCGGUGUAGCGGUGAAAUGCGCAGAUAUCGGGAGGAACACCGGUGGCGAAGGCGGUUCUCUGGGCCUGUACUGACGCUGAGGCACGAAAGCGUGGGGAGCAAACAGG